CGUAAUUAAUAUUACCUGAUUGAGCUAAUCAUGUAAAUGUAAUUAAAUAGAACGUCGGGGCACCACAAAAUAAUAUUUAUAGAGCUGUUAUCUUCCGAAUAAACUCUUAAAGACCUAGUAAUAGUUUACAGUCAAUAUUAAUCGUCACCUUAUUUCAGUCUCAUCUGAAAGUUGUAAAUUCUUGGUUAUCUUCACGAACCCUGGCUAACAAGUUGAAUCAGCAACACAAAAUUGGGUUUAUUUAUUUACUAAAUACCUAACUAAUCACACAGAAUUACAUAUACACAGAAUGAAUCAUACCUUGAUUACAAAUUAUGUCAUAAAGGAAAACGUCCCUAGCAGACGGAACAGUAAUGACGGCUGGUUACACAAAGGAAAGUGGGUUGGGUUUGAGUGAAAGAGCAGGAAGACUGAGGAACAAAGGGGAGAAGCUGUGCUAUGGUAAAUACAGUCUCUUAUGCAUUCUAAAUUACCGCCCAUUUGGAAAAGGAAAAUGCAAUAAAUAUUUACUCUGAGCUGCGCUUCAAUAGGUUGGUGGUAGGUGGAUGGCCGUGCUGCCCAACAGAGUCCUUUGAAGAGUGUCUCUGGUGGUGAACGGGAAACGUUGUAAUGUCUUCGUUGGGUGGUAGACGGAAUACUCUGGCUGUCCUUUCCUAGCCCAUGUUUACAGCUGCUGUUGCUAACUCAAUGGCUAGGUUGUCUCACUUCUUUAGUGAAUAAGAGUUCAAAGUUCAUACCAUUCACAAUCAAAGCUCCCGCUGAGGUUGGCUUUGUUCUGUAGUUAACAUGUUAGUCCUUUUUAAUGUAUGGACCAUCGUCCUCACAUUCUCGGAACAGGAGGUUACAUUGUCGUCAAAGCUUCAUAUAGGAAGGGAGAGGAGGGCGUGUUUCAUUGGUUAUAAAUAAAUGUCUCUUCACAGGGCCACUGAGUCGGGCCUAAUUCACUCAUGAAAACCCAAUUCUCCAAUUUUAGAAGCUAAAAUCACAUUUCAUCCCAUCCCAAAUAAUUUCAUAUUCAAACAUUUAAAUUGCACAACAAUUCCAUGUGAAUCUGAUAACUAUAAUGUGUAGACUUUCCACUGUACAGUUUAUGUCAUCCUAUCAUUGAUGAGAAUGUCUCAGGUGACAACCGAACUGACAUCAUAUUCAUUAAGUAUCAACGCAUAUUUUCAACUCGUUGGAUUAAUUUCCCCCCACCUUCUGAUGUUCACAGAAUCUCUAUGUUAACCAGGGUAUUUUCAAUAGUCACAUCAGUAGGGUAGAGAGAGAGGGGGAGAGGCAUUUAUGACUGCCAUAAACCUACCCCCAGGCCAGCGUCAUGACAGGGGUAUGGAGAGAGAGAGAGAGAGAGAGAAGAGGGGUAUGGGGAGAGAGAGAGUAGAGGGCGAGCGAGAGGAGAGGGGUAGGGAGAGAGCGAGAGGAGAGGGGUAGGGAGAGAGAGAGAGGAGAGGGGUAGGGAGAGAGAGAGGUGUCCAUAUUGUAUGACUGUAGUUUGACAUUUGGGAAUGGGUUAUUAUUUUCAGUUGUUACUCAUGAAACAGAUGAGCUGUCAUCCUUACUGUGUGUGCGCGCGUGCAUGGUGUGUGUGUGUGUACCACGAGCAUCCAGUGUGGGAGCAGUCUCGGCUAUCACACGCUGUAUAACAAGGUACAACGAUGCUUCAUCACAAUCACUGUGACAUCUUAGAUUAGCCUUUUAUCAAAACAUGUACGUAGGUGGGCAUGUGUGUGUGUGUAUAGACAGCUGGGGGAAACUGUUUGACAUGAGCAAAUAGUCUGAGUAGAGAAGGAGUGGAGGAAGAGGGAUAAGGGGGCAGAGUAGCAUCCAUUACCCCAGUACGAAGCUGAGAGAGGAGGAAGAGGGAGGAGGGGACUGAGUAGCAUCCAUUACCUCUGAAUUGUGGAGCCUAACUCCAGGGGCUGAGGAUUUCUCUAGAAUAGUGGCCAAUUUGUUGAUGUAAAUAUUGAAGAGUGGAGGACUCAGAUUGCAACUCUGGUGAAGGCCCCGCCCCUGUUUAAAGAACUCUGUUCUUUUCUUGCCAAGUUGAUAAAGCAAGAGUACAUUUUGGUAUUAUUUUAGAACUCAUAGCAUUUAUAAUACUACAGAAAACCUUCCCCAGGUUACUGUUCACACUAAUGUCUCUGUAAUUGUUAGGGUCAAAUUUGUCUCCAUUCUUAAAGAUUGGGGUUAUGAGUCCUUCUAAUAGUUUUAAUAGAGUCGAUUGAGAUUUUGCGCUCGUGAGUUUGCUUUAAAAAAUAUUUUAUUUUAUUUUGAGGGCCUGAAGUUUCUAAUAGAGCUCCUGGUCAGUAAUUGGGGCGGCAGGGUAGCCUAGUGGUUAGAGCGUUGGACUAGUAACCGGAAGGUUGCAAGUUCAAACCCCCGAGCUGACAAGGUACAAAUCUGUCGUUCUGCCCCUGAACAGGCAGUUAACUCCUAGGCCGUCAUUGAAAAUAAGAAUUUGUUCUUAACUGACUUGCCUGGUUAAAUAAAGGUAAAAAAAAAUAAUUGGGGAGUCCAAUGGAUUUUGAUUGUCCUUUUAUAGCUCUUUCUGCACCAUUCCACUUCUCAUGAAUUUGCCGUUCUGCGUUCGUGUCAUUUUGUGUUUUAAAAUGGGUUGUGUUUAAAAGUGGGUUGUCAAUAUGUCACCAUUUUGUAUCGCUAAUUCCUCGUUUAGAUUAUUUUUUCUCCAAUAUUGCCAGAAGUUGUUUGUGUUUAUGGACUUCUCAAUUAGUGCCAGCUGCUUGCUGUUGUACUGUGCUUUUUUAUACAUUUAUAGAGUUUUAAAGGCUCACAGUAAUGAAGGUGUAAUUCACCAUUAUUUGGGUCUCUGUGGUAGAAUACGUUUUUUAAAAUAAUUUUACAAUCUGCAUCAAACCAGUUGUCAUCUGUGGUCUUUUUUGUAAAAAAAUAAAAAAUCCAUUUCAGUUGUGCUUAUUUUGCUGUUUGCCUGAAUAUAUAGUUGAUGUUUUGUACUGCUAGAUUGAUGCCUUCUUCACUGUGAGUGAAUGUGGUAUCCAGAAAGUUAUCUAAGAAACUCUGGAUAUUUGGGUUACAGGUUGAUUUCUGGUAUUCUUCUGUGCUGUUUUGGACCCAUCUGUAUGAAUGUCUGAUGUUGUACAGCUUACUGAACUGUGAAUGUCUGAUGUUGUACAGCUGACUGGGCUGUGAAUGUCUGGUGUUGUACAGCUGACUGGACUGUGCAUGUCUGAUGUUGUACAGCUGACUGGGCUCUGAUGUUGUACAGCUGACUGGGCUGUGA
ensembl:lncRNA